CCCAGCUGAUAUCAUUUUGCAACAGGUACAUUUUACUUUGGGGAAACCUUAUUCAUCAACAAAGGUAAUUUCAUGACUCUCUGGGCUACCAUCCGUGUUGACCAACCUCUGUAUAAAACACGAGAGUUUGUUGACAGUUCUGAUUGAGUUCAUUUCGAUAAGGUUUAUCUGUCCGAGUGAUUUCGGCAUGCAUCCACAACGAAGUGUCAAGUCAGCAUUGAAUUGAUAAAGGGAGAGAGAUUCACCCCCAUUCAGCAGGACCUCUCUACUGGAGGAUGACCGCUCAGACUUAUCGAAAACAAGAAUUGUAGGAUUGCAGCCUACAAUGAAAGGAAGACCUCGGAAGCCCCGGAUCCUGUGAGCUAUCCGGACCGGAAGCUCCUUGUGUAGAUACUGGGCACUCCGCUGUAACAGACAAAAGAUGUGUUGACAUUCGUUGUGUUAACUAGUCCAGGACGAGACAAAUGGAAUGGGGAGGGACAACUGGAUGUUACCUGCCGAACUUCAGUCCGAAAACUAACAUUUCCCCAAGAAUAUCAAUGGCGUGUCGGAUUAACUUUUUAGACGAGUGUGCUGUAAGGAAAAGGCCCUCAUAAUUAAUUGUAGGCAAUAAUAUAAUUAUAUUUUGUUUAUAAUAAAAUGUUUAAAUUCAAA